rnacentral:rRNA from 1 species
UACGUAGGCAGCGAGCGUUGUUCGGAGUUACUGGGCGUAAAGGGUGUGUAGGCGGUUGUUUAAGUUUGGUGUGAAAUCUCCCGGCUCAACUGGGAGGGUGCGCCGAAUACUGAAUGACUUGGAGUGCGGGAGAGGAGAGUGGAAUUCCUGGUGUAGCGGUGAAAUGCGCAGAUAUCAGGAAGAACACCCGUGGCGAAAGCGGCUCUCUGGAACGGUACUGACGCUGAGACGCGAAAGCGUGGGGAGCGAACAGG